UCUCUCUCACACACACACACACACACACACACACACACACACACACAGAGUUUACUUGUGGUGUUCACCAUGUUUUCCUGAGCAUGGGACCUGCCCUUAAUUGUAUUUGUAUAUCCAGUAAGAUACUCUUGGAGAAAUUAAUUUUUUCCUUCAUAGGCAGUUGUUAGUUAUAGCUUUGGGUUAGGGAUGAGAGCUUAUGUCUCCUUCCCCCACCUCAGUACUGAGAACCAUCUGGUUUGGACCUGCAUAGGCCCUGUGCGCUGCCACAGUCUGUCAGCUCAUAUGUGCAUCAGUUCUGUUGGGCCUGGAAGGCACUGUUCCCUUGGAGCCCUCCAUCCCCUCUGGCUCCACCUCCUCAUCUGCAUAGUUCCUGUUACCAUUUAGGGCUGAGUGUUCCAAUGUCUUUCACUAUCUGCACAAUGUCCAGUUGUUGAGUCUCUGUAUUUAUUCCCAUCUACUAAAGAGGGAAGCUUCUCUGAUGAUGGCUGAGCAAGGUGCUGAUCUGUGAGUACAGCAGAGUGACAUUGGGAAUUGUUGUAUUGCUAUAGCCCUUGAGCAGAACAAUAGUUUCCCCCUAGGUCAUGGUUUAUGUAGUCUCAGGUUCCUGGCCACCAAGUCAGCGUGAGGCAUGGGCUCUAUCCCAUGCAGUUCUUUAAAUCCAGAGAGUGUGGGUUACUUCUACAACCUUAGUGCCGCCAUUGCCCCAGCAUCUCAUGCAGGAAGGUCACCAUUGCAGAUAAAAAGAUUUGUAUCUGGGUUGGUGUUCACCUUUCUCCUCUGAUAGCAUGCAGAGUACCUCCCAGAACCACGGACACUAGUCUGCAGGGCCAAAGGCACCAGCAUGACCUCUCCGUGUUCAGUGAGUUAUGUAGGUGUUGUCUUCAGCAAGGGAGACUGCCUAUCAGUCUAUGGACAGCUAUCAGUAACCAGAGUUGUCUGGGGGGUUCGCUUGGAAGAUUUCUAAGGAUAAGAAUGUGUUUCAGGUGACUGCCCAGUACUCUGGUUAGUAACUUAAUUGCUUUGGGAUGCGACUGCUAGAUCCUACCGAGUAACAGCACAGAUGUCCUUCACUGGUGUGGGACACACCUGCACUAGAUAACUCUUCAUUCACUUUUCUGAAAGUCAAAAUCAGACAGAACUGGCCAUCUUAUCCCUGAUCUGACCACCCCAGUCCCAGGUGCCUGGAGUAUGAGGUCACAGCAGGGGGCACUCAGGCUAACUUCAAUGCAGGACUGGAUUGAGGCCCUCUGAAAUGAAGAGCCAAAGAACAGCUUUCUUCCCACACAAUUUCCCUCAAGGUUCCCCUUACAGUGACACACAAGUAAUUAGCACCAACUGGCAGCAGGCAGCAAAGCUUCACAGAUCCCCUGCACGUGGAGACUUCAGUCUACUUUAAGCCUUUGUACUUUCCCACAUUUGGGCCAGAUGCUAGCUCAUUGUAAGCAACAUCUUUGCACAUCAAGAUGCUUAUCAGCGUCCCUUGCCUCACCUGCUGGAGCCUGAUCAUUCUCAGUGGUGUUAACUGGAAAUGUCCCCAGACAGCUUCAGUGUACCCCAGAUGCAGUCACUGCGAUUGAUCCACUACUCUCCAGAUGCAGUCACUGCGAUUGAUCCACUACUCCCCAGAUGCAGUCACUGCGAUUGAUCCACUACUCCCCAGAUGCAGUCACUGCGAUUGAUCCACUACUCUAGCAGAGCACCUGCCUAGUGUGCAUGGAACCCUGCCUUCUAUUUCCAGUACUACAUAAACCAGACAUGAUGAACAAGCCCUGCAAUCCCAGCAUUCAGGAGACAAGCAAGAAGAGUGUUGUGAAUUUGAGGCCAGCAUAGGCUACAUAGUGAGUUCUAGGCCAACCUGGGCCACUGUGUCUUGAAACAAAAAAAAAAAAAAAAAACAAACAAAAACAAAAAUUGCUAUGGCAACAGGAACUGGAGGACUGAGUAGAUUUUCAUGGUGUCAUGAAUCUGAACCCAGCUGUGUGUAUCCUCAGGGCUGUGGUGAUGAGAAUGUGCACGACACACAAUGACAGACACACGUGUUGACACAUGUGCUCAUCAUUCUGGAAAUGACAAUGUCAGUAAGACUGUGACCCCCUCGCCCCACAAGUCCUGCAAAGGAGGACUUUCUGUGGUCUCAAAAGCCACUGGGGCCUACAAUCUGUUCCUUGGUGUAUAGACACAGGACUCCCAACAUGGCCUCUGUCUUCCCAUGGUCUUCUCUUCUGUCCCCACUUCUCUGUGUCUUAAACCUCUCCCACUUUUAGAACAGCAGUCAUUGGAGUUAGAGCCUAACAAACUUUCCGGAUGCUUAACUAAGUCUACACAAUCUAGUUGGGUGUGGUGACUAUAGUCCCAGGACACUGGCUGCUGAUGCAGGACUAUGAGAAUUCAAAUCUAGUUAGUUACAUAGCAAGACCCCAUCAAUCAAUCAACCAAUCAUCAAUCAAUCAAGCAAGCAAGCAUUAAUCAAUCACAUAACAGUUUGAUUUUCCUGCCAAUCACACUUGUUCCCCACAAAAGCAAAUAUGUUCAUUGAAAAACUGCUGUCAAUGAUAAAGCCAGUACCUACUGAGCUUCACACAUCUCUGCUAUGCUCGGAUUUGGAGAAGCAGAUGAAUGGGCUUAUUUGGAAAGGAGAACUUACCUUGUGGUUUCUCCAUCUUGGGAGGAAGUUCUGUGAAAAACAAAAAAAAAAUUUUUUUUUUGAAAUACUUUUUCCCAAAAUAUUUUGGAUACUUAGAAUUACCCCCUAUCUGAUGCCCCAGUGGUGCCUAACAUGGGAACACUGGGAGCUGAGUCAGCCCGAGCAAACAGCUGGCCUUCACCCAUUGGUCUUCCUCUGUGGUUCUGUAGAUGACCAUCAGAUAUGUUUAUCCUCAAUCUCUCCAGACAUGAUAAGCCCAAAUUGAGUGUCUAUUGAAUAUACAAUGCUUACCUAUGGGAAGGAUUGGCCAACAGGCUCCCAAGAGGACACAAAGAACAGUGAGUGAGCCAGCUCAUAGGCCCCGAAGCUGAGUAUAUAGUGGCUGGUUGACUCUAGAUGAGCCAGUUCAGGGGCAGAAACAGAUGUAAAGGACAAGACAGGAUGGUCCAUACGAAAUCAGAGUCCAGAAACUCAGGACAUGCUGUCCAGGAGAGCAUGCACAAAUGUGAUCACCACCCUUUCCCUACUUUAGAGAAACUUAUACUUUAACCUAUACAUAUCCUUGCAUCUUAUAUAUACACAUAGCAAACUGAAUUCUGGGUAAAUGGACUUCAAAGAAUAAACUCACCUCUUCUCUAGAAGUGCCCACUCCAGUAAAGGCAAAGAGAGGGACAAAGGGAAGAUGAGAAGUCCAAGCCCUUGACCAAGGUGUUGUCAUUGCUUGGCCCACUCACCCCCUUCCGAGGAAUAGAUUUCUCCUGUUGUUGCUUGCCCUGACUGCUGAACUCUUUACUGCUUAUUUCACUAUUGUCUUUCUUGUGAAGUCUUCUCUUUCAGAGUGGUGAGGUGCGUCUGGGGUUACACCAGAGGAAGCUGAAGACUUUCCUGUCCUAGGACAUCCUUAUGGUGUUGAGUUACAGCCAUGAGCACCACACCCAGGUUGCCACUGCCUGAUGGGAGAUCAGAAGCGAUGAAUUUGUCAUUAGAACUAUCAGUUUUCUCUGGGAAAUGACUGGAAAUCCCUGUGGCACACUGUGUGGUAGCAAGGAGAAAAUGCCUGCAGGAACAUACGUCCAGAAGCUGUGGUGGCUUAAGUGUCAUCAUCAUUGCGGGUGAGGCUGAGACUUCAGGACUCUGGACUCAUUCAUGAGAUGAAUUCCUUUGAAAUAGCAGACUUGAAUCCCUAAAGAUAUAACUAGAGAGGAGGUGUGGGAAGGAGGACACUCCAAAGUCCAAAGCAAGUUUCUGCUUGCUACAAACAGCUGUGCAGAUUGCUCCACCUUGGCCAAGUGUGGCCAUGCAUACAUGUAACUCUGCACUGGGGAGAGGCUGAAGCAAGAGGACAGUGAGCUUGUAGCCAGCCUGUACAGUGAUAUCCUGUCUCAAAAACCAAACACCCUGGUCCUGCGCCUUGAAAUCCUCACUGGUGAAAGUAGAUGUCACAGUAGCCUUGGAAACCAUGAGGCUUUGAAGGCCAUACCCUGCUUCCUUGGUCUCCCUCGCUUUGCCUCCCUAGAACUUAGCUGCCAUAUAAAAGGGUGAGAGCUACCUGGAUGUCUUUGAUGAAAAUCAUUACAACAAAGCUACUUCUGAUAAAAAGAACAGAAUCUAAGUUCUACCUCCAGCCUGGAUGGAGACCUGACCUGAGCUGCCUAAAAUACCCUGUACAGUUGUCUCAUUCAGCUGGGCCUGUCUGUCUGUCACCUACCUAGGAGCCCACCUGCCCCAGGAAACCUGAGUACUCCAAGACUGGAUAAAGGGAAGGGAAGACGAAUAAUCCCCAGAUGAGAUAAUACACUCUUCCUUCCCAGAAGUGCCUCCCGGGACAGCCGCCAGCAUAGCUUCCACCCCAUAGCACUUCAGAGUACUAACCUUUCCUUUUCCUUCUUAGCUGAUUUGGAUAUUGCAUUAGUUACUUUUCUAACUUCAUGAUAAGACAACAUGCCCAAGGCAUUUAUAAAAGAAAAUGUUUAAAUGUGCCAAGGUGGUGGUGGAACCAGGGCCUGGCAGCAGGACCAGCCGAGAGCUCACAUGUCACACUGCAAACAGGAAGCAGAGAGCCCACUGAGAAUGACACCAGGCUUUUGAGACCUCCAAACCUGCCCCUCCUCCAACAAGGCCACACCUCCCAGUCCUUCUCAAACCAUCCGACCAACUGGAGACUAAGCAUUCAAACCUUGGAGCCUGUAAGGAUGAUU